UACGUAGGGUGCAAGCGUUGUCCGGAAUUAUUGGGCGUAAAGAGUUCGUAGGCGGUCUGCGGCGUCUGCUGUGAAAACUCAGGGCUUAACCCUGAGCUUGCAGUGGGUACGGGCAGACUAGAGUGCGGUAGGGGAGACUGGAAUUCCUGGUGUAGCGGUGAAAUGCGCAGAUAUCAGGAGGAACACCGGUGGCGAAGGCGGGUCUCUGGGCCGUAACUGACGCUGAGGAGCGAAAGCAUGGGGAGCGAACAGG
rnacentral:rRNA from 1 species